AUGAAGGAAGGAACCAGCGAGGCCGCUCCUAUCAGUAUUCGUCCGGUCGCAAUUGCGAGAUCUCACCCUCUCGUCGAUUUGUUCAUACCAACCAUCGAUAGCGAGCACGGCAUAUGCUACACCCAUCCUAAGAAACUUCCAGGUAUCACACUGAGUGGGCUAAGCAAGCAUUUCUUCCAGCACAACCCCAGGGCGUUCAAAAGGGGCACGCGGACGCUUUGCAAUAUAAAUUCGGAGUGCGGCAUGCACACGAUGUCGCACAAGACCAACAAUACCUUGCCGGUGAUGGUCAAGUGCCGACAGACGGGCAGCAAAAAGGUUCUGGUGCUGCACACCAACAAGAACUUCGACCAACAAAGAACCAGCUGGGUGAUGCACCAGUACCACCUCGGGGACCUGGAGCAAGAGAAGGAGAGGGAGCUGGUCAUCUGCAAGAUUUUCUACCAGACCAACACUAGGGCCAGGACUAAAAAGAUUAUAAGAUCUUUCGGUAUGAACUUGUCAUUUGCUUCCAACCAUCAUGUCGAGGGUCAACGUGGAUAUAAAGCUGAAUCAUUUGUUUCGAAAAAACAUUCAGGCACCUGA
rnacentral:rRNA from 1 species